GAUGAAGAACGCAGCGAAAUGCGAUACGUAAUGUGAAUUGCAGAAUUCAGUGAAUCAUCGAAUCUUUGAACGCAUAUUGCGCUCUCUGGUAUUCCGGAGAGCAUGCUUGUUUGAGUAUCAGUAAACACCUCAACUCCCCUUUCUUUUUUGAAAUGGGAGCUGGACUUGAGUGAUCCCAACGCUUUUCUCACCGAAAAGUGGCGGGUUACUUGAAAUGCAGGUGCAGCUGGACUUUUCUCUGAGCUAAAAGCAUAUCUAUUUAGUCUGCCUAAAAACAGACUAUUACCUUUGCUGCAGCUAACAUAAAGGAGAUUAGUUCUUGUGCUGACUGAUGCAGGAUUCACAGAGACAGCUUCGGCUGGCCUUUGUAAACUCGAUCUCAAAUCAAGUAAGACUACCCGCUGAACUUAAGCAUAUCAAUAAGCGGAGGA
rnacentral:misc_RNA from 1 species